CUGCGCUGUGACCGAAGCUUUCGAUAAAGUUUCUGUCAGCUGUCAUGAGCCCGAAAAUGUUCAGUAAAAACGAACUAUGGAGCAAUCAGGCUUGGAUAUUAGCGGUCUGCUGAAUUUUAUUGUCACCAAGCAGCGUUGCUCACAGCAGUGACUAGAGAUUUGCUGAGUCGAUACGCGAUACCGAAAUAGCACCAUCAAUAUAUAUUCUUCUGCGCAUUCUAGAAUAUCGCCUCACUUCCGUGACUUUCUGCGAGUUAGUGCUUAAAAAGCUACGAACAAGAAAAAGUUAUACCUUAUCACUUCUGAUGCAUACGGAGCUCGUAGAACGGCAUUAACAUUGCUUUUGCUGAAAAAACUGCA